CCUUGUUGUUAUGGUAACUAUGCCUGUCCAGUGAGCAGAGGUUGAGGUUGCGCAAAGUCAAAAUAUAACAGACACUUUUUUCCUGCUUUUUCAGAUGCCUCGGGGGGAGAGGAGGAGAGAGAACCGGAGAAAGAGGAGGAGAAACAGCCCAAAGGAGAAGAAAGGAAAGAAGAGGAAACAGGAACCCGUUCCGGCUAAGAAGAAGACUGCACUGAAAUCACAGGAGUGAUUUGUGGCUCAGGAGAAGAAAGUUGAUGAGGGCGAGAAAAAGACCAAGAACAAGAGAUAGGUAACGAGUGGAGGACAGAGGAGCCUCUUAAAGAAGAAGUUACAGAUGUGUACUUGGGUAUAACUUAAUAGUCUGGUGUUGGCUUCCCCUCCUCAUCUCCUCUUCUUCAUCUGACUGACCUGUGGAGGAAGUUAAAAGAGUAGAGGAGCAGCUGAAGCUUGAGGUGACAUGCAUUGGGGAGGGAACACCAGGGAGACUGAAAGCCCUCCUAGGGAAAGGGUUUUAACCCCAGUUUGGCCUUGCCAGCGCUGCGCUUCCUGCUUCUGAACUGGAAUUGGAGGGACCAGAAGCCUCGCAUGAUGGUGGACAUCCCUGAUGUCCAAACUGAUUUGCUGAAGCUGCUGGAUACAGGCAUCUUGAAAGGCUGUAGAGAAGGAAACACAAACACACACCCAACCAUUUAGAACGGGACCUCUUCUGCUCUCACACAAACACACACACCACAGUUAUUGUAGUAAACA